GAUGAACGCUAGCGGCAGGCCUAAUACAUGCAAGUCGGACGGGAUUUGGGAGCUUGCUCCUAAUGAGAGUGGCGCACGGGUGCGUAACACGUAUGUAACCUACCUUAAUCAGGGGGAUAGCCUCUCGAAAGAGAGAUUAACACCGCAUAAUAUAUUUUUAUGGCAUCGUAGAAAUAUCAAAUAUUUAUAGGAUUAAGAUGGGCAUGCGGAACAUUAGCUAGUUGGUAAGGUAACGGCUUACCAAGGCUACGAUGUUUAGGGGAUCUGAGAGGAUGACCCCCCACACUGGUACUGAGACACGGACCAGACUCCUACGGGAGGCAGCAGUAAGGAAUAUUGGUCAAUGGGCGCAAGCCUGAACCAGCCAUGCCGCGUGCAGGAAGACGGCCCUAUGGGUUGUAAACUGCUUUUAUACAGGAAUAAAGUUAGCCACGUGUGGUUAUUUGUAGGUACUGUAUGAAUAAGGACCGGCUAAUUCCGUGCCAGCCGCCGCCGUAA
rnacentral:rRNA from 1 species